rnacentral:rRNA from 1 species
CAAUAGCGUAUAUUAAAGUUGUUGCAGUUAAAAAGCUCGUAGUUGGAUUUGUGGUUGGAGCGGUCGGUCCGACACUGAGUGUGGGUACUUGACUGCCUCCGUCCAUCCUUGGGUGGAACCUGUGUGGCAUUAGGUUGUCGUGCAGGGGAUGCCCAUCUUUUACUGUGAAUAAAUUAGAGUGUUCAAAGCAGGCUCACGCCGUUGCAUAUGCUAGCAUGGAAUAUAAGAUAGGACCUUGGUACUAUUUUGUUGGUUUGCGCACCGAGGUAAUGAUUAAUAGGGACAGUUGGGGGUAUUCGUAUUGCAUUGUCAGAGGUGAAAUUCUUGGAUUUUUGCAAGACGAACGACUGCGAAAGCAUUUACCAAGGAUGUUUUCAUUAA